UACGGGGGGAGCGAGCGUUAUUCGGAUUCAUUGGGCGUAAAGGGUUCGUAGGCGGUCAGGUCAGUCAGGGGUGAAAUCCAACGGCUCAACCGUUGAACUGCCUCUGAAACUGCCUGACUUGAGUUCGGGAGAGGAAAGUGGAAUUCUUGGUGUAGCGGUGAAAUGCGUGGAUAUCAAGAGGAACACCCGUGGCGAAAGCGGCUUUCUGGCCCGAUACUGACGCUGAGGAACGAAAGCCAGGGGAGCAAACGGGAUUAGAUACCCGCGUA
rnacentral:rRNA from 1 species